rnacentral:rRNA from 1 species
GCUAGAAAGCUAGCUCAAACAUCUUAGCAAAACAAAACAUUUUUUUAACUACUCAUAUACAAAACACCCACAAACCAAAUCAUUUGACUACCCCAGUAUGGGCGACAAAAAAGGAUCCACGAAGCCAUAGACAAAGUACCGCAAGGGAAAGCUGAAAAAGAAAUGAAAAAACUCAUUAAAGCACAAAAAAGCAGAGACACUCCUCGUACCUUUUGCAUCAUGAUUCAGCUAGUAAAAUACAUGCAAAGUGACCUCUAGUUUGUAACCCCGAAACCCGACGAGCUACUCCGGGACAGCCUAUCAAGGGCCAACCCGUCUCUGUGGCAAAAGAGUGGGAAGAUCCCCGAGUAGAAGCAAAAGACCUACCGAGCCGGGUUAUAGCUGGUUGCCCAAAUAAAUGAAUAAAAGUUCAGCCCCGUAUAGCCCAACUCACAGCAGUUUUACUACAAAAGACAAAGAGCUAUUAAGCGGGAGUUAAUCAGGGGAGGUACAGCUCCCCUGAUAAAGGACACAACCUUAUAAAGGAGAUUAAGGAACAUAAUCAGUAAAGGCCACAGGUCUCAGUGGGCCUGAAAGCAGCCACCCGACCAGAAAGCGUUAAAGCUCAGACCAAAAUAACCCUAUUAUUAUAUUAAACACUCCAAAAUCCCUAACAUAAAUGGGCCUUUCUAUGCCCCCAUAGAAGAGAUUAUGCUGAAAUGAGUAACAAGAAGUUUGAACUUCUCCCCGCACAAGUGUAAAUCGAAUUAGACCCACUACCGACAAUUAACGAACCCAAUAACAGAGGGCCCCACAUUACCGCCGUAGAAGGCCAGGAAAAACAUGUCCCCCUAAUCGUUAACCCCACACAGGAGUGCUAAACCAAGGAAAGACUAAAAGAAAAAAAAGGAACUCGGCAAACCUAAACCCCGCCUGUUUACCAAAAACAUCGCCUCUUGCCAACUCUAUUGUAUAAGAGGUCCCACCUGCCCUGUGACCAAAAGUUUAACGGCCGCGGUAUCCUAACCGUGCGAAGGUAGCGCAAUCAAUUGCCUUUUAAAUGAAGGCCUGUAUGAAUGGUAUAACGAGGGUUUAACUGUCUCUUUUUUCCAGUCAGUUAAAUUGAUCUGUCCGUGCAGAAGCGGACAUAAUUAUACAAGACGAGAAGACCCUAUGGAGCUUUAGACACUAACCAACCAUGAAAAGCAAUAAAUUACAUAUACCCCAAACACCCAUGGACCUGGCAUAAUAGUCUUAGGUUGGGGCGACCACGGGAGAUAACAAAGCUCCCGAGCAGAUCAGGGAAAUCCUGAAACUAAGAGUUACAACUCUAAGUCACAAAAAUUUUGACUGAAAUGAUCCGGCCAAAGCCGAUUAACGAACCAAGUUACCCUAGGGAUAACAGCGCAAUCCCCUUUCAGAGUCCAUAUCGACAAGGGGGUUUACGACCUCGAUGUUGGAUCAGGACAUCCUAAUGGUGCAGCCGCUAUUAAGGGUUCGUUUGUUCAACGAUUAAAGUCCUACGUGAUCUGAGUUCAGACCGGAGUAAUCCAGGUCGGUUUCUAUCUGUAAAGCAACCACCCCUAGUACGAAAGGACCGGGGUGGGGAGGCCCAUGUUAAUAACAAGCCUCCCAUCUACCUGUUGAAAACAGCUAAAACAGACAAAGAUGGGCACCCCCCCAGACCCGCGACCAGGGUCACGAAAUAAUUCGC